AAAUGCGAUAAGUAAUGUGAAUUGCAGAAUUCAGUGAAUCAUCGAAUCUUUGAACGCACCUUGCGCUCCUUGGUAUUCCUUGGAGCAUGCCUGUUUGAGUAUCAUGAAAUCUUCAAAGUAGAUCUUUUGUUAACUCAAUUGGUUUCUACUUUGGUAUUGGAGGUCUUUGCAGCUUCACACCUGCUCCUCUUUGUUCAUUAGCUGGAUCUCAGUGUUAUGCUUGGUUCCACUCGGCGUGAUAAGUUAUCUAUCGCUGAGGACACUGUAAAAGGUGGCCAAGGUAAAUGCAGAUGAACCGCUUCUAAUAGUCCAUUGACUUGGACAAUACUUUUAUGAUCUGAUCUCAAAUCAGGUAGGACUACCCGCUGAACUUAAGC
rnacentral:misc_RNA from 1 species